GUCAGCUUUUUCAGAAAUUUCUUUUCAACAGUAGAAUUAAUUGUUCAGCUCAUACUCCCAGGUUAUUCCGAAAAUUAUAAACAAUAAUACAUUUUGGCCUAAAAGUUGGGCAGAUCUCUCUCAGAAAUAUAAUUCUCCAUUUGAUAAUUCAACUCUAAAUAUCUUUCUGGAACGACCAAUUAUAUACUUCAGUGGCAAAAAAUAAUGAAUAUCGACAAUGGGCCAAAACUGUUUUCCAAUUACAAGCCACAGCCAAACGGCCAGAAAAACAAUCUAAUACAAAUUGCAAUGGACACAAUAAAUUAUCGUAGCUUGCCAAAUAUACACUCUCAUCAAGGUACGAAAGAUAGUCAAUUCAAUUUUAAAGAAAUUCCAGCAUAUUUGGAAUUGAAAAACUACGGAGAGCGAGUGAAGAAUUUCUUUUUGAACGAAAUGAACGGUGAAUCGAAAAAUAAAAAUGGAAUUUUGGGGAUCAGUUAUUCUCAAGCCAAGCGAAUCACAAAUUCAAACCCACGUCAUAAGUGUGAUAUGUGAAAGAAGAAUUGCUCUCUCUUCCUAAUUGAGAUAAAUAAACAUAUGUUUUUAAAUAUUU